rnacentral:tRNA from 2 species
GCGCCAAUAGCUCAGCUGGAUAGAGUGUCUGACUACGAAUCAGAAGGUCGGGGGUUCGAGUCCCUCUUGGCGCA